rnacentral:rRNA from 1 species
GUGUCAGCAGCCGCGGUAAUACGGAGGGGGCUAGCGUUGUUCGGAUUUACUGGGCGUAAAGCGCGCGCAGGCGGACCGAUAAGUCAGAGGUGAAAUCUCCCGGCUCAACUGGGAGGGGCCCUUUGAUACUGUCGGUCUUGAGAUGCCUAGAGGAGAGUGGAAUUCCCGGUGUAGUGGUGGAAUGCGUAGAUAUCGGGAGGAACACCGGUGGCGAAAGCGGCUAUCUGGGGGCGAUCUGACGCUGAGGCGCGAAAGCGUGGGGAGCAAACCGGAUUAGAUACCCGCGUAGUCC